UUUAACCGAGACUGUGGUGAUUAAUCUAUCAUGGGUUACUGACAACUAGAAUGUUGCUAUGGCAUUGCUUUUUGGAAUAGGAUAUGUUGGCUUUAUAUUUGAGGAGUCUUUAGCCUUUAAUAAAAGUGGAGUAGGAUUGUUGAUGGCUGUGAGUUUGUGGGUAGUACGAAGCAUCGGGGCUCCUUCACCUGAUAUAGCUGUUUCAGAUUUGACGCAUGCAUCUGCAGAAGUCGGUGAGAUAGUGUUUUUCUUGCUCGGUGCGAUGACCAUUGUAGAGAUAGUCGAUGCCCAUCAAGGAUUUAAGCUGGUUACUAACAACAUAACCACUCGAAAGCUGCGGACUCUAAUGUGGGUGCUGAGUUGAUUUCUGUUGGCUA